GUUAAUUAGUUUUCAUUCAUUUAUAUCAUGCCUAAAUUGUAUUACACUUGAAUACUAUAAUAGAGACAUAGAGUCAUAGAGCCAUUUAAAAUAUAUCACGGUAAACAGGUGAAUGAUGAUGGCUGCAGAUAAGAUAGUAUCGAAAAAAACAAAUGACAAUGCGUGUUGAAUAAAUAAUGAGACACAUUGUUAUAUUGAAUAUUCCAAGCAUAUACUAUUAUACCUCCUAUUCGGCCGAAUACAAUAAUAGAAACAAAAGACUGGCUAGUGAUAGUAUAGUAUGAUUUUUUACACAUCUAAAUAUCGU